GUAUUAUUACCCCCAGCUGGGAAGACUUGAGAAAUCACCUAACUGCUCUGUGCCUCAGUUUCCCAUAUCUCUAAAAUCGUGGCUAUAACAGGUCUCCUCUUUCACAGAUAUUAUUCUGAAGCAUUAUCCAAUGCUGUGGAGGAAAGAAUCAGGCUACUCCCUACAGUCACUCCAUCUGCACAGCAGAAGCAACGUUCUCUUUCUCUACCCAACCAGCUUACAUUUGUGGACAAAAUCCUCUUAGAAAAGAAGGAUAGCUCCGGAGAGGAAACCCAUAUAUCAAAAGGACAAGGGCACAGCCAUCCGUUCUACAGACACCUCUGCAUCUCUGGGAAGAAAAAAACCCUGAAAAUUAAUGCCACUUGCCCCUGAUGACAACCUGCUGCUGCUUCUGGUGCUGGACAG